GAUGAAGAACGUAGCGAAAUGCGAUAAGUAAUGUGAAUUGCAGAAUUCAGUGAAUCAUCGAAUCUUUGAACGCACCUUGCGCCCCUUGGUAUUCCGAGGAGCAUGCCUGUUUGAGUGUCAUGAAAUUCUCAACCUUUCUGGCUUUUGCUAGUCAGGCUUGGAUUAUGGGAGCUGCUGGCUUUUGAAGUCGGCUCUUCUAAAAUGUAUUAGCAAGAUCAUUGCUGCUCAUCAUUGGUAUGAUAAUUAUCUAUAUCAUUGAGAGUCAGUUUCCUUUAUUGGAAGAUUUUGCUCCUAACGGUCUUUAGCAAGACAACAUUUGACGAUUUUGACCUCAAAUCAGGUAGGACUACCCGCUGAACUUAAGCAUAUCAAUAAGCGGAGGA
rnacentral:misc_RNA from 1 species